GUAAAUACGGUGCCAGGUGGCGGGGUAAACGGAAGGGGGAAAACGGUGCGCGGAAUUAGUGGGCUCAAAGGGGACGUAGGCGGCGUUGCAAGUCGGAUGUGAAAUCCCUCGGCUGAGCCAAGGAAGUGCAUCCGAAACUGGAGAGCUUGAGGACGAAAGAGGAUCUCGGAAUUCCCGGUGUAGAGGUGAAAUGCGGAGAUAUCGGGAGGAACACCAGUGGCGAAGGCGGCGAUCUGGGUCGAUACUGACGCUGAGGUGCGAAAGCGUGGGGAGCAAACAGGAUUAGAUACCCGAGUAGUC
rnacentral:rRNA from 1 species